UAGGGAAUCUUCCACAAUGGACGCAAGUCUGAUGGAGCAACGCCGCGUGAGUGAAGAAGGGUUUCGGCUCGUAAAGCUCUGUUGUUAAAGAAGAACACGUAUGAGAGUAACUGUUCAUUCGAUGACGGUAUCUAACCAGCAAGUCACGGCUAACUACGUGCCUG
rnacentral:rRNA from 1 species